rnacentral:rRNA from 1 species
GACGAACGCUGGCGGCGUGCUUAACACAUGCAAGUCGAGCGGUAAGGCCCCUUCGGGGGUACACGAGCGGCGAACGGGUGAGUAACACGUGAGCAACCUACCCUCAACUUUGGGAUAAGCCUCGGAAACGGGGUCUAAUACCGGAUAAUAUCGAUCGCCUCCUGGUGGUUGGUUGAAAGUUCUGGCGGUUGGGGAUGGGCUCGCGGCCUAUCAGCUUGUUGGUGGGGUAAUGGCCUACCAAGGCGUCGACGGGUAGCCGGCCUGAGAGGGCGACCGGCCACACUGGGACUGAGACACGGCCCAGACUCCUACGGGAGGCAGCAGUGGGGAAUAUUGCGCAAUGGACGAAAGUCUGACGCAGCAACGCCGCGUGAGGGAUGACGGCCUUCGGGUUGUAAACCUCUUUCAGCAGGGACGAAGCGAGAGUGACGGACC